CCUACGGGAGGCAGCAGUGAGGAAUAUUGGUCAAUGGGCGGGAGCCUGAACCAGCCAAGCCGCGUGAGGGAAGAAGGUCCAGCGUAUCGUAAACCUCUUUUGUCAGGGAACAAAGUGGGGCACUAGUCCCCGGCUGAGGGUACCUGCAGAAAAAGCAUCGGCUAACCCCGUGCCAGCAGCCGCGGUAAUACGGAGGAUGCGAGCGUUAUCCGGAUUUAUUGGGUUUAAGGGGUGCGCAGGUGGCCUGUUAAGUCAGCGGUAAAAGCCCGGGGCUCAACCCCGGCGAGCCGUUGAAACUGGCGGGCUGGAGUUGGAAUGAGGUACGCGGAAUGCGCGGUGUAGCGGUGAAAUGCUUAGAUAUCGCGCAGAACCCCGAUUGCGAAGGCAGCGUACCAGCUCGAGACUGACGCUGAGGCACGAAAGCGUGGGUAUCGAACAGGAUUAGAUACCCCUGUAGUC
rnacentral:rRNA from 1 species